rnacentral:rRNA from 1 species
GAGUUUGAUCUUGGCUCAGAUUGAACGCUGGCGGCAGGCCUAACACAUGCAAGUCGAGCGGAUGAAGGGAGCUUGCUCCUGGAUUCAGCGGCGGACGGGUGAGUAAUGCCUAGGAAUCUGCCUGGGUAGUGGGGGAUAACGUCCGGAAACGGGCGCUAAUACCGCAUACGUCCUGAGGGAGAAAGUGGGGGAUCUUCGGACCUCACGCUAUCAGAUGAGCCUAGGUCGGAUUAGCUAGUUGGUGGGUAAAGGCCUACCAAGGCGACGAUCCGUAACUGGUCUGAGAGGAUGAUCAGUCACACUGGAACUGAGACACGGUCCAGACUCCUACGGGAGGCAGCAGUGGGGAACAUUGGACAAUGGGCGAAAGCCUGAUCCAGCCAUGCCGCGUGUGUGAAGAAGGUCUUCGGAUUGUAAAGCACUUUAAGUUGGGAGGAAGGGCAGUAAGUUAAUACCUUGCUGUUUUGACGUUACCAACAGAAUAAGCACCGGCUAACUUCGUGCCAGCAGCCGCGGU